CAGUCGCCGCGGUAAUACGAAGGGGGCUAGCGUUGUUCGGAUUUACUGGGCGUAAAGCGCACGUAGGCGGAUUCUUAAGUCAGAGGUGAAAUCCCAAGGCUCAACCUUGGAACUGCCUUUGAUACUGGGGAUCUCGAGUCCGGGAGAGGUGAGUGGAACUGCGAGUGUAGAGGUGAAAUUCGUAGAUAUUCGCAAGAACACCAGUGGCGAAGGCGGCUUACUGGCCCGGUACUGACGCUGAGGUGCGAAAGCGUGGGGAGCAAACAGGAUUAGAUACCCCGGUAGUCCAUGUCUCUUAUAC
rnacentral:rRNA from 1 species